ACUUAUAAUUGUCCUGUUUGUCCAGUAAUAUGCUCCAGAGAAGAUUUUCUGAUAGACCAUGUUAUUUGCUGUCAUGCUAAAAAAGGCAAAACUCACUUAGUCAAAGAUCUUUCUCUUCAGGUACCAAUAACUGAGGAACCUGUAGAGGAGCUUAGGAGUUCCUAUGACGAGAAUGAUAAACACAUAGCAUAUGGUAGUGUAUACAUAGAGGGUUAUGAAGUGGAUUGUAUUAUUCCAUCACAAACAGAUAU